rnacentral:rRNA from 1 species
UACGAAGGGGGCGAGCGUUGUUCGGAAUUACUGGGCGUAAAGGGCGCGUAGGCGGCCCCUUUUGUCGCGUGUGAAAUCCCCAGGCUCAACCUGGGAACUGCGUCUGAUACUGGAUGGCUUGAAUCCGGGAGAGGGAUGCAGAAUUCCAGGUGUAGCGGUGAAAUGCGUAGAUAUCUGGAGGAAUACCGGUGGCGAAGGCGGCAUCCUGGACCGGCAUUGACGCUGAGGAGCGAAAGCCAGGGGAGCAAACGGG